rnacentral:rRNA from 1 species
UUUAUGGAGAGUUUGAUCCUGGCUCAGGAUGAACGCUGGCGGCGUGCCUAAUACAUGCAAGUCGAGCGAACGGACGAGAAGCUUGCUUCUCUGAUGUUAGCGGCGGACGGGUGAGUAACACGUGGAUAACCUACCUAUAAGACUGGGAUAACUUCGGGAAACCGGAGCUAAUACCGGAUAAUAUUUUGAACCGCAUGGUUCAAAAGUGAAAGACGGUCUUACUGUCACUUAUAGAUGGAUCCGCGCUGCAUUAGCUAGUUGGUAAGGUAACGGCUUACCAAGGCAACGAUGCAUAGCCGACCUGAGAGGGUGAUCGGCCACACUGGAACUGAGACACGGUCCAGACUCCUACGGGAGGCAGCAGUAGGGAAUCUUCCGCAAUGGGCGAAAGCCUGACGGAGCAACGCCGCGUGAGUGAUGAAGGUCUUCGGAUCGUAAAACUCUGUUAUUAGGGAAGAACAUAUGUGUAAGUAACUGUGCACAUCUUGACGGUACCUAAUCAGAAAGCCACGGCUAACUACGUGCCAGCAGCCGCGGUAAUACGUAGGUGGCAAGCGUUAUCCGGAAUUAUUGGGCGU